rnacentral:rRNA from 1 species
UGGGGAAUAUUGCGCAAUGGGGGGAACCCUGACGCAGCGACGCCGCGUGAAGGAAGAAGGUCUUCGGAUUGUAAACUUUUGUCUUUGGUGACGAUAAUGACGGUAGCCAAGGAGGAAGCCACGGCUAACUACGUGCCAGCAGCCGCGGUAAUACGUAGGUGGCGAGCGUUGUCCGGAAUUACUGGGUGUAAAGGGCGUGUAGACGGGCUUGUAAGUCAGGUGUGAAAUACCGCAGCUUAACUGCGGGGCUGCACUUGAAACUACGAGUCUUGAGUGCGGGAGAGGGAAGCGGAAUUCCUAGUGUAGCGGUGAAAUGCGUAGAUAUUAGGAGGAACACCAGUGGCGAAGGCGGCUUUCUGGACCGUAACUGACGUUGAGGCGCGAAAGCGUGGGGAGCAAACAGG